UCUCUUUUUCUUUUUCUUUUCCCUUUCCUUCCCCUUCCCUCCCUUCUGAACAAAGAAAAGAAGGAGGGCAAGAAAGAAUCAAAGAA
rnacentral:ribozyme from 13 species